rnacentral:rRNA from 1 species
AGUGAACGCUGGCGGUAGGCCUAACACAUGCCAGUCGAACGGCAGCACAGUAAGAGCUUGCUCUUACGGGUGGCGAGUGGCGGACGGGUGAGGAAUACAUCGGAUUCUACUUUUUCGUGGGGGAUAACGUAGGGAAACUUACGCUAAUACCGCAUACGACCUACGGGUGAAAGCAGGGGAUCUUCGGACCUUGCGCGAUUGAAUGAGCCGAUGUCGGAUUAGCUAGUUGGCGGGGUAAAGGCCCACCAAGGCGACGAUCCGUAGCUGGUCUGAGAGGAUGAUCAGCCACACUGGAACUGAGACACGGUCCAGACUCCUACGGGAGGCAGCAGUGGGGAAUAUUGGACAAUGGGCGCAAGCCUGAUCCAGCCAUACCGCGUGGGUGAAGAAGGCCUUCGGGUUGUAAAGCCCUUUUGUUGGGAAAGAAAAGCAGCAGGUUAAUACCCCGCUGUUCUGACGGUACCCAAAGAAUAAGCACCGGCUAACUUCGUG